GUGGGGAAUAUUGGACAAUGGGCGAAAGCCUGAUCCAGCCAUGCCGCGUGUGUGAAGAAGGUCUUCGGAUUGUAAAGCACUUUAAGUUGGGAGGAAGGGCAGUAAGUUAAUACCUUGCUGUUUUGACGUUACCGACAGAAUAAGCACCGGCUAACUUCGUGCCAGCAGCCGCGGUAAUACGAAGGGUGCAAGCGUUAAUCGGAAUUACUGGGCGUAAAGCGCGCGUAGGUGGUUGUGUAAGUUGGAGGUGAAAUCCCCGGGCUCAACCUGGGAACUGCCUCCAAAACUGCAUGACUAGAGUACGGUAGAGGGUAGUGGAAUUUCCUGUGUAGCGGUGAAAUGCGUAGAUAUAGGAAGGAACACCAGUGGCGAAGGCGACUACCUGGACUGAUACUGACACUGAGGUGCGAAAGCGUGGGGAGCAAACAGGAUUAGAUACCCCUGUAGUCC
rnacentral:rRNA from 1 species